rnacentral:rRNA from 1 species
CCUAUGGGUGGCAGCAGUGGGGAAUAUUGGACAAUGGGCGAAAGCCUGAUCCAGCCAUGCCGCGUGUGUGAAGAAGGCCUUCGGGUUGUAAAGCACUUUCAGUGGGGAAGAAAGCCUUGGGGCUAAUACCCUCGAGGAAGGACAUCACCCACAGAAGAAGCACCGGCUAACUCCGUGCCAGCAGCCGCGGUAAUACGGAGGGUGCGAGCGUUAAUCGGAAUUACUGGGCGUAAAGCGCGCGUAGGCGGUCUGAUAAGCCGGUUGUGAAAGCCCCGGGCUCAACCUGGGAACGGCAUCCGGAACUGUCAGGCUAGAGUGCAGGAGAGGAAGGUAGAAUUCCCGGUGUAGCAGUGAAAUGCGUAGAGAUCGGGAGGAAUACCAGUGGCGAAGGCGGCCUUCUGGACUGACACUGACGCUGAGGUGCGAAAGCGUGGGUAGCAAACAGGAUUAGAUACCCCUGUAGUC